UACGUAGGGGGCGAGCGUUGUCCGGAGUUACUGGGCGUAAAGCGCACGCAGGCGGUCUGCUAAGUUUGGAGUGACAGUUGGUGGCUUAACUGCCAAAGUGCUUCGAAAACUGACAGACUUGAGGGCUUCAGAGGGACACGGAAUUCCGGGUGGAGUGGUGAAAUGCGUAGAGAUCCGGAGGAACACCAAAGGCGAAGGCAGUGUCCUGGGGAGUACCUGACGCUGAGGAGCGAAAGCGUGGGGAGCGAACAGG
rnacentral:rRNA from 1 species